UACGUAGGUGGCAAGCGUUGUCCGGAAUUAUUGGGCGUAAAGCGCGCGCAGGCGGUCCUUUAAGUCUGAUGUGAAAGCCCACGGCUCAACCGUGGAGGGUCAUUGGAAACUGGGGGACUUGAGUGCAGGAGAGAAGAGUGGAAUUCCACGUGUAGCGGUGAAAUGCGUAGAGAUGUGGAGGAACACCAGUGGCGAAGGCGGCAUCCUGGACCAACACUGACGCUGAGGAGCGAAAGCCAGGGGAGCAAACGGG
rnacentral:rRNA from 1 species